rnacentral:misc_RNA from 1 species
CAGAGGUACACGGUAAUAAAGCCUCAAAAUCUGCCUCUGUGAUUCCCUCACUUACUGUCACACACAACUUUUGUGCAUAUAUACGACAAGCAAACACACAAAUAAACAGAGCUUGCUCUUUGCAUAUCUCGGGGACUCCAAGCGCUGAGGGUGUGCAGUUUUCUUUUUUUCCUUCAGCUUGUGCAUUAGUUUCUUUUUUUUUCUAGCUUCACUAGUUUUCCCCCUUUUUGAGGUUUCACAUGAGAGACUUUUUUUUUUUGGAAGUCAUGGUAUAUUUUCCUUCACCAUUAGGUCUCUUCGUUCCCCUUUGCACUAGCACUUUCAUGUGAAAUGGCACAUCACACUGAUAAGUCGCGUCAACACUACGCCAAGAUAAGCGCUCUUGCUCUUGAUAACUCAAGUCAAUAUGAGGAGCAGUGGGCGAGAAUGCAAUCAGUUGACCUCAAUUACUUGCAACAGAAGUCAAACGAAUGUAUUGAGAAUCGGCAUGCACCAUCUAGCUUGUACCCCACCUACGCGUGCCGCCAGGCUACCAUGGCCGCUCCUCAAGAAAGUUACUUUACGCGUUUUGUGCCGAACGGAUCGUCGCCUGCACGAAGAAGCGAACUCGCCAGCCGAAUCGUCGCGCAGAGAAACUACUUCUCCCACUGCAGGAAGCCCCUGGAGUGUGGCGGGGCACUUUCUCUACAGCAACUUUCCCAGUUCCCUUCGGCCGCGUCAUCACAGAAGGGAGGCAGUGCUUCCGUGUUUUUCGAUGAAGAGCGUUUCGAUGAGAUCCAUGUAGUCUUCAUCAACGGUGAGCCACAUCGAGUAAGUGGGGGUCACCAGAGCGAACGUACGCUCUACGGGUUAGACUCUCCAACCGCUGCCAUUCGAGAUGCAGUGGCAGCCGCUGCUGCAAACCAAGCCGAAAAAUCGAAUGCCGUAUCUUCCUCAGGAGGACUACAAAAAAGACCGCAUGGAUCCCAGCAGCAGAGUUCUACCACCAGUCAUGUUGCAGAACCCAAGAGGCAAAUAGCUGGUUGCAAUGGCACAUGUAAAAAACAGCACGGAAAAGGUAGUACUUCCCCUGACAUGUACCGCGACUACCUUUCUCCAUCUGGAAGGCUCUACCGCGUUUUCCGUCUCCAAAAGCGGCACCUUCCACCCAUCGGGGUGAGUGAGAAAGCCAAGGGCUUCUCAUCCCAUGCGAAAGGUGCGAAAGAGGCAUCACGAACCAAAAAGCCAAGGAAUCGCGAGCCAGCUGAAUAUGACCGUGACAUCGACGGCAGGCACGAGCUGAGGGAAGAGCGAGUAGCAGCAGACCACCGCAGCGGCGGGAGGAAGCUGGUAAAAGAUGACAAGGCAGUGCUACCUGUGUGGAAAAGGCGCAUAGCAAAGCCGCACAAGUCUCACGAAGCUUCAAAAAAUGUGCGAGGCAAACGCAAUGGACGGCGGCAGCUCGAUGCUGCCUCUCAUCAGAACAGCUGCGCCACAAAGCAUAAAUGCAGACACUGCCAACGUAAUUUGAGCUCAACAUCUCCGAGAAAUGCGUCAUCUGAGUCGUCCUCGUCGUGGCUGCUUUCUCCCUCAGCGAGCCCAUCUGAAGAUAUCGCGGACACGCGCACAGGCGAUCGUGAUUGUGAUGGUGCUUCAUCAUGCAGGGAGCGCUGCCAGCGUUCCCAUGACCAUCAUGGUGCGUCCCAGAACAACAGAGCAGAUCGCCGGCUUCCACCAGUCGGAGGGGACCAGUGGCACUGUCCAGUGGCCCCUCCGCCUUCGCAUCCCCCCCGUCGCCCGCGUGAUGCGCAUAGGCGCAGAAGUCAACACCGCGAAGGCGGGAGACACGUCACGAAACGAAGAGGAAGUCGUAGCGACGUUCUUUCCGACUCGAGUGAGCUAUCGUCAUCGCUUUCUGACUCUGCCGUUUGUGUUUGGUCCUCUUUGUCUAGUAGCAUCGAUAGGGCGAGUGACAUGUCCGACUGUGUGGUGAUGGAUAAGCCGCAGCGGAGCCCAUCGGAGGAGCACUGGCAGCAGAGGGGCACUGCACGGCGCAGACGCGCGGGAAGUGCAUCACCGCUCAUUUCGGAGGGCGAUGACAAGGAUCAAGAGCUGUUUGAAUGCGCAAACAGCUGCUUGAGUGACAGAGACCCGGAGUGGGAGGAUGCGGACUCUACUUCAUCUCCCUCCUCGUCCACGUCGCCGUCAUCUUCGGAGCUGAGUUCACCUUCAACGUGGAGGGCUGAGGUGCGGAGGCCGCGAGGCCGCGACGGUCGCCGACGUCAUCGCCGCAGCGCUCACUCACCUCCAUCUCCGUCGCACAAAGGGGGAAGGCCGGGCGCGAGGGGUUCUGCCUCAAAUCGUCAUCGAAGGCGCGAUGGGUGCAAGGCGCGGAACAUGAGGAGGCCCGUCUGUUCACCAUCCUCGCCGAGCUUGUCAAGUGAUGAUUCUGAUUCAGACGGGAGCCCCGGCAAACCCCGGGCGCGCUCCAGAGCUGCCCACGCGACACAGAGCCGGCUCCACUCACGUACUCUGCCGCCCAUCGUCCACGCAGUUGUCCCAGCUCACCCGCCAAGGGUGCUGCCACCUUUGAUGGAGGAGGUGCUGCCAAAUACCCGCUAUGCUACGUCUGCGGCAACGCCGCUGGCACAGAGACUACAGAUGGCCCAGGCGACUGACGCCAUCCACCGCUGCGCGAGCCCGGCCGUCCCGCCACCACGCACAGAGCAGGGCACGGUCGACAAAGGAGUAGGCCAGUCCCACGGCACGGUUGACCCGACGCGGCGCGCGUACCAGAAGAUGCCCACAUCUCCGCUGCAGGUGAACCGUUUCUGUGACUUGGUGACCCCGUCUGUCGCGUCAUCUGGCCCCGUCUGCACGUCGUCACAGGCUGACGACAGCAACAAGGGGGGCGCGUCUCCACAGCAGCAGUCUCACAAGACGGGGGAGCCGACACCAUCACCGGCAACGGAGCCGCUGGACUUGGACUACAUUACAGAGCACGUGCUAAGGGUCAUUCAGAACCGUUUGGCCGGCAAAGACAACGCGCGCGAGGACGCCGCUGCGACAGCGUUGCGCAAGCGCGAGGCAGUGGGGCGCGAGCGUGCUGGUCAGGAGGAGGUAAGAGAGGCCGCGAAGCGGGCAGCUGAGCAAGUGCGGCUGCGUGAUCUUCUCCGAGAGGCCCAGCAAGAGGCACGUCAGGCGCGAGAGGAACAGCUAUCCUUGACCAGUCUAACGGACUUUCUGCGGCUUGCGCUCGCACAGGUCACCCGUCUCAUGGAACAUGGCGACGGCGCCGGCGAUGACACGGUGCGGCUUGGUCUAACGCACGAGUCCACACAUAAAGGUGGCAACCCAUCAACGGUGGUUGGGACGCUGAACUCGAACACACUAGUUUACGGUGCUGCUGGGAACCAUGCAAUGACGCCGCCGGGUGCAGGCGCUAGUGCUGCUACUGGAAGUGACGCCGGAGAUACGGGCGUAGCUGUUGAGAGCGGCCACCCAUCUUCUUUGCCCGAUUCGACCCUGGAUGCGGCGACGCUGCAGCGGCUGAUUACAGAGCUGCGCCGACGACGUCACAGCCGCCAACUCAAGCUACGCCUCCAGCGGCAGAGGGCUGAGGAGGCGGAGGAAAAGCGGCUGAGGGAGGAGGCGGAGGCCAAGGCGUUGGAGGCAGCUCAGCAACAGCACAAGCAAGAGCUCGACGAGCUUGUCGCCAAUGAGCAUCAGGCCCGUGUCAGCUUGCGCAGAGCUGAGGAAGAGGCGUUGGACGAGGUGCUUGUCAGUGCUGCGUCGGCUCUGGAGGAGGCCAUCGGUAGGAUGAUGGCGGCCCAGCUCAGCGCCCGCAUGCUACUGUGCGAGGAUGAGUUCAACAAGCGCACGGAGAUUGUCGCCACCGAAGAGGAGGAGGCAGCCGACUUCUGGCAUUUUGCCGCGGAUCUUUGGCAGGCCGCCGAAGACGCGGAGGCGGAAAGGCUGCAGGCGGAGGCUGGGCGCAUGGUGGCGGAAGCCGUGACCGCGAAGAUUUGCAAGGGCCGCGAGGAGUUAGGCCAGCGCAGCAGCGGCACUCAGUCCACUGCUGGCGUAGAGAAGAUUGUGCUGUCGAACCUCAUUCCUGGCCAGCUGCUCGGCAUCGAGGGAGGCAAGUCCAUCGAAAACGGCGGCAAGAUCCGCCUUAUCGGCGAUCCGUGCGUCGAAGCCGUCGAGGCGCAUGCGCGGGAGCGCCGCCGCCUCGAUCGCCUGCGCCAGCAGCGGCUUGUCUCUGCUUUGCCAUCGCGCCCUGAGACGAACAAAGCCAACGACGCGGGUGGCAGCCGUCUUUCCAGCCGUCAGCCCUCGACGGUGCGCAUGGGGUUCACCGGAGGUGCCGUCAGCGCGCUGAAGCCUUACAGUGGAGCAUCGUCGCACAAUUUUCCAGUGUUGUCGCCGGCCCGGCUUUCAUCGGACGGGAGCACUCGAGUUGACGAGCGGUCGCCAAGCCGAAGCCGCCUGCCUAGUCAGUCGACCUUUGUGUUGGACGGCGAUGCCAACUUGCAAGUCUACGGACGCCAAGUUGGAAUCCUGUCAAAGAUGCGCGGCCGCGCCUCCCUGCCCGCUUCCGCGCGAGGCACCCCCGUGAAGGGCGGCGCUGACAUUGCCGCCAGGCCAUACAAUAAGCGGCUUGACGAGGGGCUGCUAUUGAUGGACAUGUACGCUUCGCAGGUCGAGCACUAGACGACGCAAAACUGCGCGUGCACCGUCAGCCCCCCCGAAACGCACUGCCGUUCUUGCGACUCCCUCAUUCUUUCAAGUUUUCGCAACAUGCAUGGAUUGGGCAGUCGGCCUGCUCUCCCUUCCACCAUGCUUCCUUUUUCACCGGAUGUAUAGUCGCGUACUGGGCAAUGUGGCUCUGUUGCUGUUCUGUUUUUCUUUAUUCUCUUGCCCUCACCCCCCCCCCCCCAAUGACGAGGGGACAACGCCCCGCAGGGCGUGGCGUCUCAGUGUGCAGCGCAGCAGCCCCACCUAUCCCUGCCAGUGCUCAACCGCUUCUCGUGGCGGCAGGGCGUGAGGUCCUGGACGGCGUUGCGUGGGGGAGGGGCGACCUGCCAGGGCGAACACGCUUCUGCGAUCGAUAUGGUGGGCAGAGCGUCGGCGUGACUCGAGCGUCUCCCACCCCCGGCCCUCACACUGUCUACUGGCGUGGGGGUGCCUGAGUGCCACCCGCGAGGAGGAUGCACGACGUGGCGACCUGCCUGAUGGGGGAGCGGCUGUGAGGCGACAUGCGAGGCGGCGGAUUUGUAGAGUCUGGGGCAGAGGCCGUGCUGCGAUGACUGGGUCCGCAUCGCUGUAACGCGCGUGUCUAGGGCUGCUGCGCGCGACGUGAUGGGCGCCUGUGGGGCAGGCCGUGUGGUGGUGGUGGUGGUGUCGAGGGGAGCACUGACCUCAUGCUGUAUGGCAGAGAAGGAACAGGUUGGAAAGCGAGACAAUAUGCUUAGAUGUGCCUGUGCGGUGAGAGAUGGAUCAUUACCACCAUCAUAAUUGUCGUCUUUACACCUGGUCGAGAUUGAAUACUUUUCUCUCCAUGUUUAUAUGUUUUUGUGGCAAAGAGAGAAUCCGACGAGAGAGAAGAGAGCACGUUCACUUUCUUCUCUGGGGCGCGGUCGGAUCAGGCACGACACACCGCUCUUGUGCUUCUUCUGCGCUCCCCCCUCCAAAUCGAUGAUGCCGCUCUUCGAGCGGCGGAAAGGAGGGGGGGGUGGGGGAAAAGCGGACAAGAAGCGACGAGGAUGGUGAAACGUGCAGCGGCAAAGAGAGAUUUGCGGAGUCUGCUGUGCACGUGUCAGUGCAAAUUCAACUGUGAAGAGACGAGGCAAAGACGAAAAAAGUACCAAGACACUUUCGAAUUGGUCUGCUUAACAUUGGGUGAACGUGGACCGUGCUCCCCCCACACGCGCAGUAGCUUAGUCGUCAGCGGACAGAGCCCAGCAAGGUUGCACAGGUCGUUCUUUCUUGACGUCGUUGUCUCUCGCUUCGCGUGUGUGCUAGAGGCAUUUUCCUCUCGUCUUUGCGUUGUGCGAGUGUCGUGGUGAUACCCUUGCUCCACGCCUUUUUCUUCCGUGCAUGCCUGCUGCAUGGGUUUGUACGCGUCUUGACUCUGCUCUUCUCGGUAGCACUCUGAAAGGCGUUGGCUGUCCUUGCCGCGCCGCCCAUCAGCUGAUUGGUUAUAUUCAUCACUGAAUGAACCGCUCCCUCGCCCCCCUUUUUCGCCGUUCCCGUGCAUCUUCCUCUUGUGGCCACGCCGCAUUCCCACCAUCCACGACACCCCCCUUGCGCAAUAUUGCGUGCUGCUUCACGGACACCUGCCCCGCCCACAUACACACAAUCGCCCAUGGAUGCACAAG